CUUCUUGUGAGGAAUUCUCGAGAAGCCAUGACAUUACAGUCAGCUGUGGUCCUCUGUCUGUCACUCAUCACAGUUCCUUCCAACUUUGCCAUUGAGAACAACAAAAAAAUAGAACACCCCAGGCACUCUCAAGAGCAUGACAUGGUCAUAUUUUAUCCAAAUGUGAAUUCACUGACGAAGGAACAUGAGUAAGUGUUUAGCAGGUUUGACAGAAUAUUAGUCUC
rnacentral:lncRNA from 1 species